GAUAAACGCUGGCGGCGCACAUAAGACAUGCAAGUCGAACGGACUUAACCCGAAUAUUUAUAUUUGGGAGCGGUUAGUGGCGGACUGGUGAGUAACACGUAAGCAAUCUGCCUAUCAGAGGGGAAUAACAGAGAGAAAUUUCUGCUAAUACCGCAUAUGCUCACACCAUCGCAUGAUGGAGUGAGGAAAGGAGUAAUCCGCUGAUAGAUGAGCUUGCGCCUGAUUAGCUAGUUGGUGUGGUAAAGGCAUACCAAGGCGACGAUCAGUAGCCGGACUGAGAGGUUGAACGGCCACAUUGGGACUGAGAUACGGCCCAGACUCCUACGGGAGGCAGCAGUCGGGAAUAUUGCGCAAUGGAGGAAACUCUGACGCAGUGACGCCGCGUAUGGGAAGAAGGUUUUAGGAUUGUAAACCAUUUUAGGCAGGGAAGAAAAAAAUGACGGUACCUGCAGAAUAAGCUCCGGCUAACUACGUGCCAGCAGCCGCAGUAAAAC
rnacentral:rRNA from 1 species